AUUCUGGGGGGAAACAGUCCUGAGCUGGGAGACCUCCUAGUCCGUCCCCGACUCCGCCAUGGGCCCCGGAUCAGUGUGGUUGGUGGCCGUUUGUGUCCUGGGAGCAGGUCCCGUGGACGCCAGAGUCACCAAGACCCCCAGACACCUGGUCACUGGUCGGGGGCAGGACGUGACACUGAACUGUGAGCAUGACCAGAGCCACAAUGUCAUGCACUGGUACCGGCAGGACCCGGCACAGGAACCAAACCUCAUGUUUUACCUUCAAAAUCAGAAGCCUUCAGAAAACAUGACUGUCUCAUACUGCUUCCAACCGCGUUGUUGGAAGGCCGGUGACUGCACCCUGGCCAUCAGUACUGCAGAGCUGGGCGACUCCUCGGUGUUCCUGAGUGCCAGGAGUGCAGACACAGCGCUGCAGCCGCCCUGCCUAUCUGCACACAAACCCUCCAUGCCCUAAUAACAGUCCACGGAUGGGGGAUGGCGGGGGGACGCCCUC